GUAGUCUCGCACAGAUGCAUAUCAAUAAGCGGAGGAAAAGAAACUAACAAGGAUUCCCUCAGUAACGGCGAGUGAAGCGGGAAGAGCUCAAAUUUGAAAUCUUGAAAGGUCACCUUUCACGAAUUGUAGUUUAAAGAAGUGUUUUCUGUUACGAUCGUAAUAUAAGUUCUUUGGAAUAGGACAUCACAGAGGGUGAGAAUCCCGUCUAUGAUUGCGAUUUGUAGCUUUGUGAUACACUUUCAAAGAGUCGGGUUGUUUGGGAAUGCAGCCCAAAACGGGAGGUAAAUUUCUUCUAAGGCUAAAUAUUGGCGAGAGACCGAUAGCGAACAAGUACCGUGAGGGAAAGAUGAAAAGAACUUUGAAAAGAGAGUUAAAUAGUACGUGAAAUUGUCAAAAGGGAAGCGUUUAACACCAGUGUUGUUUUCUGAAAAUCAACCUCUGUUAGCUUUAUGCAUGUUUGUUUAGACCUAAUCAGCUAUCUUGCAUGUUCUAUUGUUUGCAGUGGUGCACUUUUCAGUUUACAGGUCAACAUCAGUUUUUUUUACCGUAAAAAAGUUAAAGAAAGGUAGCUCAUGGCUCCGGUCGUGAGUGUUAUAGUCUUUUUCCUAUGCGGUAGGAGAGACUGAGGUCUGCAGUGUAGGCUAUUUGGCUAGAUACUCGGGUGCUAUGUGAUACCAUUUCAUAAACAACUUGUUGAUUAUGUUUUGUCUAUUGCAUACUCGCUUGUACUAUCAUACCUACGCUUAGGAUGUUGAGUCGUAGAGCACGCAG
rnacentral:rRNA from 1 species